AUACCUUUCUCGGCCUUUUGGCUAAGAUCAAGUGUAGUAUCUGUUCUUAUCAGUUUAAUAUCUGAUACGUGGACCAUUGGUCCACAUGAUAUUAAAUUAAUUUUUACAAGGGAGAGAGCCUGCCACGGUAGCUUGCUACUGGGGUUCUCGAGUGUCGCUCAUACGCUGCACUGCUGUACGGGCCAGGCGCACCCUGC
rfam:Jatropha curcas cultivar GZQX0401 scaffold397_5, whole genome shotgun sequence.